ensembl:lncRNA
CUCCUAGCACAGAGUUAAGAGUUCAUUGCUGGGCAGUGCAAGCCAAGCAGUAAGCGGGAGACCCAGCUUAACAAGAAGGAAUGUUGCGUAGACCAGGAAUGCUGGACCAUGUGGAGGCUGAAGGAACAGUUAGAAAAGAGGGCCCACCGGUUGGAAAUAAAGUCGGAAUAAUCCUGAGCAUCCAGGGGAACAACAGGAGCCAGCCCCGUGGCGUAGUGGUUCAGUUCAGCAUGCUCUGCUUCAGCGGCUUGGGUUCCCAGGUUUGGAUCCCAGGUACGGACCUCCACCACUCCUCAGCCAUGCUGAUGCAGUUACCCACAUCCAAAACAGAAGAAGACUGGCACAGAUGUUAGCUCAGGGCUAAUCUUCCUCAGCAAAAGAAGGGGAAACAACAAAACAAGAACAACAACAACAAAAGCAGGAUCUGAAACAAAAUCUAUGAAAUCAGAGUUGGAGAUAAAAUAGGAUCUAAUUCUGAAUUCUGAAUUCCUGAUAUGUGUAUCUGUUCCUAUACUAACGCCACAUUGAAUGAUGGAUACAUAGUGUGUUCCAAUAGCUGAUUCAUCUCAUGUCCUUCAACCAACAUAGUUUUUCCAUGUUUGUUUUGUUCUGUUUUUUCGUCUUCUUUUUCUCCCCAAAUCCCCCUUGUACAUAGUUGUGUAUUCUAGUUGUGAGUGACUCUGGUUGUGCUAUGUGACGCCGCCUCAGCAUGGCCUGAUGAGCGGUGCCUUGUCUGUGCCCAGGAUCCGAACCAGCGAAACACUGGGCCACAGAAGUGGAGCGCGCGAAGUUAAUCACUCGGCCACGGGGCCGGCCUCCAGGAUUUGCCCCCAUCUCAAGGUCCUGAUUUGUAGCCUCAUUUGCUGUCUGGUUCGAGUGAAAUAUUUGUUCUUAGAUGGGCACUUGGUAAUAUACUCUCAAAGAUUUUGAAUAUCUUUGAAUUUUUUUUAAAUUCUGUCAGGUGAAUAACUCUUGAUUGACUAUAGGAUUCUGAAGUGACAGUCCUUUUAGCUUAGUAGUCUGCUGAUGAUAUUCCACUGACUUCUAGCUCUCAUAGUUAUGAACACACAUUCCAAAGGCAGUAUGCUAUUUUUACAGGGAUUAUUUGUUCUAUCAAGACUCUUAUAAAAAAAUUUAUGUAUAUAUAUGUAAAUAUUGAAUGUACAUAUUUUAUAAAUACAUGUAAAUAUUAAUUUUUGCAUUUAUAUAUGUGUAGAUUUCUUUUUCCAAGGGUCUGAUAGAGAGAACAAAUUACUCCCCUACAAAAUAACAAACUGCCUUUGGAAUGUUUGUUCAUAACUAUGAAAGCUUUAUAGAGAUAGAUAUAAAGAUAGAUAUAUUGGUGUAUAGAUAUAUUGGUAUAUAGGUAUUUUUCUAUAUAAAUAUUUACCAAAACUUAUCAUUAAUUCAUCAGAGACCAACCUUUAUUUCAAUUUAUAUACAGCUAUGUGUCGCUUAACGAAGCAAAUACAUUUUAAGAAAUGCAUCAUUAUGUGAUUUUGUUGUGGUGCAAAUAUCAUCGAGUGUACUGAAGGGGAAUAAAAUUUGCCACCCCAGAAUGUGUCUUAACAUGAGGAUUAUUUUAGGCUGAUUAUUUUUAAGAAAAAAAAUACUCAGAAGGUUUUCUUGUUACCUCCCCCUUACCUGCCUAAAAGAAUUCAGAUUAAAAAACCUGUCUCAGGGAGCUGGCCUGGUGGUGCAGUGGUUAAGCUCUCACAUUCCACUUCAGCAGCCAGGGUUCACCAGUUCGGAUACUGGGUGCAGACCUAUGCACCACUUGUCAAUCCGUGCUGUGGCCGGCGUCCCACAUAUAAAGUAGAGGAAGAUGGGCACCAAGGUUAGCUCAGGGCCUGUUUUCCUCAGCAAAUAGAGGAGGAUUGGCAACAGAUGUUAGCUCAAGGCUAAUCUUCCUCAAAGAAAUGAGAAAAAACCCAAACCUGUCUCAGAAAGUAAGCUAUUACCUUAACAUAACAUGAACUAGGUGGUAGAAAGCGAGACACCUAGAAAAAGGUGGUAGAAAGCGGCUCCUCUCUGUUUUCUUCUGUGAAACUUGUUUUCCAAAUGUUUGCUUCUUUUCACCUACUUGUGAAUUGCCUUUGUUUCCUUUGAGGCCCCUGACUCUCCCACCCCCAACCUCUUCUUUUGUUUUAGGUUGAAAAUGGUAUUUAAGGUGAAGGCUUCAGUCAUUUUGGUGAGUUAGUUUUUCUGGGUUUCUUCCAUGUGUACAUGUUAUUAAACUUUUGCUUGUUUUUCUCCUAUUAAUCUGUCUCAUGUCAAUUUAAUUCUUAGAUCAGCCAGAAGAACCUAGAAGGAUAGAGGACAAUUUCUUCCUCCUCUACAGUACUUACACAAACCUAGAUGACGUAGCCUACUACACACCUAGGCUGUAUGGUACUAAUCUUGUGGGACCACCGUCGUAUACGUGGUCUGUCGUUGACGGAAGUGUUGUUAUGUGGUACCUGACUGUACUAAAAUUUUUAAUUCAGAAGUCAUAGUUUUCAGUUUUAAGAAGUCUUUCAGUGCUUUUUCUCUCAAAUGCUCUUUUUCUGUUUAUUUAUACUUCUAUUCUUGCUCUAGCUCUUCCAGAAGUUCAAUUUCAUAAAGUGUGACUUAAGAUUCUUCAAUCUACUCCUCUCAACCAAGCUAUUUUGGAUCCUCAUAAAAGAAAACUAAAAGAGUUUGUCACUCACUGACCUGCACUACAAGAAAUGCCAAAAGAUGUUCCUCACGAUGAUGGGAAAUUAUACCAGUUACAUAAAAAAGGGUGAAGAGCAUCAGAAGUGAAAUAAGAGAGAAACUACAGUCACAAGGGGAGCAAGGCACCGUGUGAACCUAACGGAACUGGACUCCACUUGGCACCUUUGUGCUGACCUAGUUCAAGCCCUUGGCUUCUCUCCAUCAGACAGAGCCUGGGGUAUGAAGAUUUUGUAUGAGGCCAAUCAAAACCUGUGACAGAGUAGAACUGAACCAACAAACCACCUUUUUGUUAAGACAGUUCUGAAUACUAGUCUCCAGAGACAUAAGUGGGGUGCUUCUCAGAUCAGCCAGUAUUGUGUUGGGAGUUGGCAGAGAGACCAUCUGAGAUCUACAUUUAUUUGAAAGGAAUAUUAAAUUGAGCACUUUGGAUUCACGAAUUCCUCUCCAACUCUGGAAACCAUGCCAGAGCAGAUGUCCUUGGGGCAAAGCCCGGCUAGGGAUCAUGUGCCAUCUUGCUAUUUUCUUUGCUUACAGCUCUUUCCAUUGAAUAUAUUUUUCCUUUUGCAAACAAUCUCCAAUUUAUUGUAUAUGACCAGGAAAAUUGGGAUUUAUGUUCAACUUCUCAGGAACAGCUCUAUUUUGUAAAUGAGGGAGCACUACACCGCAAGCUGUAUUGCCUG